UUUUUGCUUAGGUAAAUUGCAUGCUCUUUUCGACAAGACUAGUCAUGCUGACCCAAUACACCUCAUAGACCCCUUGAGGGCUGUCAAGUACCAGAUUAACAGUUGUUUCUUCCAAGGAAGGUAUCAGAAUCAGAGGUUCCUGCUACUCAUUUUUUCUUUCCAUGCCCCUUGGCAGUCAUCAUUCCACCUGACCAUUUGAUUUCUUUUCUCUCUUUUUUUUGUUUGUUUUUGGUUCAGGCGUUUCUUGCACUGUUUUUUUUCUUCUUUUUUUUUUGCAGGAAAAACCUCGAUUCCUCUUUCAUUCACAACAUGCCUCGGCAGCUUGCUGGACAGCACUCCAUAAGUGCACUGACUUAGACUCAACAGUAUGAGUUAUCUCCACCGGUCAAACAACUUGAUCAAGUCCACCGGGUGCCCCUCUUCUGCUUGGGACUUUGUCAUCAUGUCAUCAACAUGGCAUUCGCUUUCACGAUGAGUCAUAUCAUGAAACAAAGUCACCGUAGCCCUUUG
rnacentral:lncRNA from 1 species